rnacentral:lncRNA from 1 species
ACGAAGGAGGGGAAAAGAGACCUCAGGCUCAGGGCCCAUCUAGAAGCCAGCUGAGUCAUUGCUCCUCCUGUUGGGUCAGAAACCACCUUCCACAAAAGGCUGGGAGAUGGCUGCCCUGGGCGUGGGCACGAGGCUUUGCAGGAGACACAUCUGCCCUGAGAGUCCCCAAGCCUGCUUGGCAGCCUCCUCUGGGUGCAAGACUCCCACACUGGUUUCCGGAGGCUGCAAGCUAGACGGCAGUCUUCCCCAAACACAUUGAAGGUAAAGAAAUGAUAAAGCCUCUCCCAUGAGCUGGGCACUCGGGACACAUCAGAGAAGACAAGGCCCCGCCCCCCUGGCUUACAAACCACCCAGGCAAUAAGAGAACAUGUGAUGGACACGGUCAAGGGACACAAGGGGGGUGACCACGAGCUGGUCAGGCAGCUUUUAGUCGGAGUCAACUUGUGGUUUGUGAAGACACGGGUGGACAUGGCCGUGGGGAAAGACCAGGUGGAGACAGAGACGGCCAAGGAAAUUCUGGGGCUUGCAGUACAGACCAUUGGGCAUCCUUGUUCAUGCCAUGCAUUUCGUGUUGUUGACAGUCUCUUGGGAGCCAGCAUGAGAACAUCAGAAAGUCCUAUGGAAGGGGAGUUCCUGUUGUGGUUCAGCAGUAACAAAUCUGGCUAGUAUCCAUGAGGACACGGGUUCAAUCCCUGGCUUCGCUCAGUGGGUUAAGGAUUCGGUGUUGCCAUGAACUUUGGUGUAGGUCGAAGACAUGGCUUGGACUCUGUGUUGCUGUGGCUGUGACAUAGG